UUGCAGUGUCAGCAUAUAUACUAAAAUUGGAAACCAUACAGAGAAAAUUAGCAUAGCCCUGGACAAAGAUGACAGCAAUUUCCUGAAGUGUUUUAAAUUUUU